rnacentral:rRNA from 1 species
UACGGAAGGCAGCAGUGGGGAAUAUUGCACAAUGGGCGCAAGCCUGAUGCAGCCAUGCCGCGUGUAUGAAGAAGGCCUUCGGGUUGUAAAGUACUUUCAGUCGUGAGGAAGGUGUUAAGGUUAAUAACCUUAGCAAUUGACGUUAGCGACAGAAGAAGCACCGGCUAACUCCGUGCCAGCAGCCGCGGUAAUACGGGGGUGCGAGCGUUAAUCGGAAUUACUGGGCGUAAAGGGCACGCAGGCGGUUAAUUAAGUUGGAUGUGAAAUCCCCGGGCUUAACCUGGGAAUGGCAUUCAAGACUGGUUAGCUAGAGUCUUGUAGAGGGGGUAGAAUUCCAUGUGUAGCGGUGAAAUGCGUAGAGAUGUGGAGGAAUACCGGUGGCGAAGGCGGCCCCUGGACAAAGACUGACGCUCAUGUGCGAAAGCGUGGGGAGCAAAC